rnacentral:rRNA from 1 species
UCAAACAAACCCCAGACCUCGUUGAAAGCAUUUUUAGCCUCAGCAUCAUAUUUGGCUCGGGCGGCUUUUUCCUGGGAUCUCCGAAUGGGGCAACCCGACCGCAAGGUCAUCCGGGCCUGAAUGCAUAGGGCUCGUGAAGCGAACGCAGCGAACUGAAACAUCUCAGUAGCUGCAGGAAAGGAAAGCAACCGCGACUCCGUGAGUAGCGCCGAGCGAAAGCGGAUUUACCAGAGGAACGACGAGCGACUUGGAAAAGUCGGCCACAGAGGGUGACAGCCCCGUAGGCGCGAAUCUGGGAAUGGCUUCAAGUAGAGUCAGGCUCGAGAAACCUGGCUUGAACAUGGGGGGACCACCCUCCAAGCCUGAGUACUCCUUGACGACCGAUAGUGAACCAGUAAGGCGACUGAACGAUGAAAAGCACCCCGACAAGGGGAGUUAAAAGCACCUGAAACCGUGUGCUUACACAGCGGUCACGGGCCUACGGGCUUGUGGCGUGCCUUUUGCAUAAUGAGCUGGCGAGUUAUUCUCUAUGGCAAGGCUAAGUCGUUACGCGACGGAGCCGAAGGGAAACCGAGUCUGACAAGGGCGAAUAGUCAUAGGGGAUAGGCGCGAAACCGGUUGAUCUACCCAUGGGCAGGUUGAAGGUGGGGUAAAACCCGCUGGAGGACCGAAGCCGUGAACGUUGAAAAGUUCUGGCAUGACCUGUGGGGAGGGCUUACAGUGCAAUCAUAACCGGAGAUAUCUCGUUCUCCCCGAAACAGUUUUGGGACUGGCCUCGGGGGUCAGCGCAUGGGGGUAGAGCUACUGAAUGGACUUGGGGGUCUACCCGACUACCCGGUCCAAUCAAACUCCGAAUACCAUGCGUUUUGCCCCGGGAGUAAGUCUGCGAGCGAUAAUGUUCGCAGUCAAAAGGGAAACAACCCAGACCAUCGGAUAAGGUCCCUAAUCGAACCUCAGUUCGAAAGGUAGUCAGAUUGCUGUGACAGCCAGGAUGUUGGCUUAGAAGCAGCCACCAUUUAAAAAGUGCGUAACAGCUUACUGGUCGAGGAAUCUGGCGCCGAUAAUUAUCGGGAAUCAAGGUUUGUACCGAAUCCGUGGCCGCAGCAAUGCGGGGUAGGGGAGCGUCGCUGUCAGCGUCGAAGGGGUUCCGCGAGGGACUCUGGAGCGGCAGCAAGUGAAUAUGCCAGCUUGAGUAACGAUAAAGAGAGUGAGAAUCUCUCUCGCCGAAAGUCCAAGGUUUCCUGGGGAAGGUAAAUCCGCCCAGGGUUAGGCGGCUCCUAAGGCAAGGCCGAAAGGCGUAGUCGAUGGACAGCAGGUCAACAUUCCUGCCCCGCCAUGCAAGGUUGAACCGACGUGACGGAUCUGGAAGCUCGCACGGCCCUGUGAAGUGGGCAGGCCCUUGAGGCCGACGUGGGGUGGACAGGUUCCAAGAAAAGCCGUUCGGGGACGAGCAUGGUGGCCGUACCAAAACUGACACAGGUGGACGUGGCGAAUAGCCUCAGGCGCUCGAGAAAACGGUCGUGAAGGAACUAGGCAAUUUGACCCCGUACGUUCGCAACAAGGGGGCCCUCCUCGCAAGAGAGGGCGCAGAGAAAAGGCUCUGGGAACUGUUUAUCAAAAACACAGCACUGUGCGAACUCGCAAGAGGACGUAUACAGUGUGACGCUUGCCCGGUGCCGGAACGUCAAGGGAGCUGGUUAGCCGCAAGGCGAAGCUAGCGACUGAAGCGCCGGUAAACGGCGGCCGUAACUAUGACGGUCCUAAGGUAGCGAAGUUCCUUGUCGGGUAAGUUCCGACGCGCAUGAAUAGCGUAAUCACUGGAGCACUGUCUCCACGACCGACUCGGUGAAAUAGUAGUGGCGGUGAAGAUGCCGCCUACCCGCAGCAAGACGGAAAGACCCCGUGCACCUUUACUGUACGCUUGCAGUGGUCAUGGAUUUGUUCUGCGUAGCAUAGGUGGGAGCCUUUGAAGCCGAACUCUCGGGUUCGGUGGAGGCAAUAGUGAAAUACCACUCUGAAUGAAUUCGUGGCCUAACCCCGAAUCCCGUGAAGCCGGGCGGGGAACACUGCAUGCCGGGCAGUUUGACUGGGGCGGUCUCCUCCAAAAAUGUAACGGAUCUAUCGUGACUGGGAAACAGAUCGGAAGA